AUUGAACGCUGGCGGCAGGCCUAACACAUGCAAGUCGAACGAGCGGCGGACGGGUGAGUAAUGUCUGGGAAACUGCCUGAUGGAGGGGGAUAACUACUGGAAACGGUAGCUAAUACCGCAUAUCAUCGGAUGUGCCCAGAUGGGAAUAGCUAGAAGGUGGGGUAACGGCUCACCUAGGCGACGAUCCCUAGCUGGUCUGAGAGGAUGACCAGCUGCACUUGAUCUGAGCCACGGUCCAGACGCCUACGGGAGGCAGCAGUGGGGAAUUUUGCACAAUGAGCGCAGGCCUGAUGCAGACAUGCCGCGUGUAUGAAGAAGGCCUUCGGGUUGUAAAGUACUUUCGGCGGUGAGGCGUUACCCACAGAAGAAGCACCAGCUAACUCCGUGCCAGCAGCCGCGGUAAUUC
rnacentral:rRNA from 1 species